GACGAACGCUGGCGGCGUGCUUAACACAUGCAAGUCGAACGGAAAGGCCCUGCUUUUGUGGGGUGCUCGAGUGGCGAACGGGUGAGUAACACGUGAGUAACCUGCCCUUGACUUUGGGAUAACUUCAGGAAACUGGGGCUAAUACCGGAUAGUAGCUCCUGCUGCAUGGUGGGGGUUGGAAAGUUUCGGCGGUUGGGGAUGGACUCGCGGCUUAUCAGCUUGUUGGUGGGGUAGUGGCUUACCAAGGCUUUGACGGGUAGCCGGCCUGAGAGGGUGACCGGGCACAUUGGGACUGAGAUACGGCCAAGACUCCUACGGGAGGCAGCAGUGGGGAAUAUUGCACAAUGGGCGGAAGACUGAUGCAGCAACGCCGCGUGCGGGAUGACGGACUUCGGGUUGUAAACCGCUUUCGCCUGUGACGAAGCGUGAGUGACGGUAAUGGGUAAAGAAGCACCGGCUAACUACGUG
rnacentral:rRNA from 1 species